GAUGAACGCUGGCGGCGUGCCUAGUACAUGCAAGUCGAGCGAACGGACGAGAAGCUUGCUUCUCUGAUGUUAGCGGCGGACGGGUGAGUAACACGUGGAUAACCUACCUAUAAGACUGGGAUAACUUCGGGAAACCGUAGCUAAUACCGGAUAAUAUUUUGAACCGCAUGGUUCAAAAGUGAAAGACGGUCUUGCUGUCACUUAUAGAUGGAUCCGCGCUGCAUUAGCUAGUUGGUAAGGUAACGGCUUACCAAGGCAACGAUGCAUAGCCGACCUGAGAGGGUGAUCGGCCACACUGGAACUGAGACACGGUCCAGACUCCUACGGGAGGCAGCAGUAGGGAAUCUUCCGCAAUGGGCGGAAGCCUGACGGAGCAACGCCGCGUGAGUGAUGAAGGUCUUCGGAUCGUAAAACUCUGUUAUUAGGGAAGAACAUAUGUGUAAGUAACUGUGCACAUCUUGACGGUACCUAAUCAGAAAGCCACGGCUAACUACGUG
rnacentral:rRNA from 1 species